UACGUAGGGUCCGAGCGUUGUCCGGAGUUAUUGGGCGUAAAGCGCGCGCAGGCGGCCUCGCGCGCCCGACGUGAAAGCCCCCGGCUUAACCGGGGAGGGUCGUUGGGGACGGCGGGGCUUGAGGGCGGGAGAGGGUGGUGGAAUUCCCGGUGUAGUGGUGAAAUGCGUAGAGAUCGGGAGGAACACCCGUGGCGAAGGCGGCCACCUGGGCCGACCCUGACGCUGAGGCGCGAAGGCGUGGGGAGCGAACGGG
rnacentral:rRNA from 1 species